UCAGGAUGAACGCUAGCUACAGGCUUAACACAUGCAAGUCGAGGGGCAGCAUGGUCUUAGCUUGCUAAGGCCGAUGGCGACCGGCGCACGGGUGAGUAACACGUAUCCAACCUGCCGUCUACUCUUGGACAGCCUUCUGAAAGGAAGAUUAAUACAAGAUGGCAUCAUGAGUCCGCAUGUUCACAUGAUUAAAGGUAUUCCGGUAGACGAUGGGGAUGCGUUCCAUUAGAUAGUAGGCGGGGUAACGGCCCACCUAGUCUUCGAUGGAUAGGGGUUCUGAGAGGAAGGUCCCCCACAUUGGAACUGAGACACGGUCCAAACUCCUACGGGAGGCAGCAGUGAGGAAUAUUGGUCAAUGGGCGCAGGCCUGAACCAGCCAAGUAGCGUGAAGGAUGACUGCCCUAUGGGUUGUAAACUUCUUUUAUAAAGGAAUAAAGUCGGGUAUGUAUACCCCUUUGCAUGUACUUUAUGAAUAAGGAUCGGCUAACUCCGUGCCAGCAGCCGCGGUAAUACGGAGGAUCCGAGCGUUAUCCGGAUUUAUUGGGUUUAAAGGGAGCGUAGAUGGAUGUUUAAGUCAGUUGUGAAAGUUUGCGGCUCAACCGUAAAAUUGCAGUUGAUACUGGAUAUCUUGAGUGCAGUUGAGGCAGGCGGAAUUCGUGGUGUAGCGGUGAAAUGCUUAGAUAUCACGAAGAACUCCGAUUGCGAAGGCAGCCUGCUAAGCUGCAACUGACAUUGAGGCUCGAAAGUGUGGGUAUCAAACAGGAUUAGAUACCCUGGUAGUCCACACGGUAAACGAUGAAUACUCGCUGUUUGCGAUAUACAGCAAGCGGCCAAGCGAAAGCGUUAAGUAUUCCACCUGGGGAGUACGCCGGCAACGGUGAAACUCAAAGGAAUUGACGGGGGCCCGCACAAGCGGAGGAACAUGUGGUUUAAUUCGAUGAUACGCGAGGAACCUUACCCGGGCUUAAAUUGCAGAUGAAUUACGGUGAAAGCCGUAAGCCGCAAGGUAUCUGUGAAGGUGCUGCAUGGUUGUCGUCAGCUCGUGCCGUGAGGUGUCGGCUUAAGUGCCAUAACGAGCGCAACCCUUGUUGUCAGUUACUAACAGGUUCUGCUGAGGACUCUGACAAGACUGCCAUCGUAAGAUGUGAGGAAGGUGGGGAUGACGUCAAAUCAGCACGGCCCUUACGUCCGGGGCUACACACGUGUUACAAUGGGGGGUACAGAGGGCCGCUACCACGCGAGUGGAUGCCAAUCCCAAAAACCUCUCUCAGUUCGGACUGGAGUCUGCAACCCGACUCCACGAAGCUGGAUUCGCUAGUAAUCGCGCAUCAGCCACGGCGCGGUGAAUACGUUCCCGGGCCUUGUACACACCGCCCGUCAAGCCAUGGGAGCCGGGGGUACCUGAAGUGCGUAACCGCGAGGAGCGCCCUAGGGUAAAACUGGU
rnacentral:rRNA from 1 species